rnacentral:misc_RNA from 1 species
GAUGAAGAACGUAGCGAAAUGCGAUACUUGGUGUGAAUUGCAGAAUCCCGUGAACCAUCGAGUCUUUGAACGCAAGUUGCGCCCGAAGCCAUCAGGUUGAGGGCACGUCUGCCUGGGCGUCACAUAUCGUUGCCCAAUGCCUAUUGCAGUGCAAUAGGAAUUUCUAGGGCGAAUGAUGGCUUCCCGUGAGCGUUGUUGCCUCGCGGUUGGUUGAAAAUCGAGUCCUUGGUAGGGUGUGCCAUGGUAGAUGGUGGUCGAGUUAGAACGAUACCGAUCAUGUGCAUGCUCCCCAAAAUAUGGCCUCUAUGACCCACACGCGUCUUUUGACGCUCAUGACGAGACCUCAGGUCAGGCGGGCUACCCGCUGAAUUUAAGCAUAUCAAUAAGCGGAGGA